rnacentral:rRNA from 1 species
GCUGAUGAAGGACAUGGCAAGCUGUGAUAUGCCUCGGGGAGGCGCAAGCAGCCUUUGAUCCGAGGAUCUCCUAAUUACUCCGGAAGGAGUAGGAACGCGGGGAAUUGAAACAUCUUAGUACCCGCAGGAAAAGAAAUCAACCGAGAUUCGGUGAGUAGAGGCGAUCGAAAGCCGAAAAGGGCAAACUGAAUUCUUUUCUGAAAAGAGAAGAAGAUGUGGUGCGGCUCUAGUUUAAACCUUCUUCAGAGAAGACGAAUUUCCCUGGAACGGGAAGCCUUAGAGGGUGAUAGCCCCGUAGUCAUAAUCUGAAAUGGUUUAUAGAGUUCAAGAGUAGUGGGCAUUGGAUAUUGCUCACGAAGGUUGGAGACAUUAACUUCAAACCCUAAAUACGUAUCAAGACCGAUAGCGCACUAGUACCGUGAGGGAAAACUGCAAAGGAUCCUUAACGGGAUGUGAAAAGAACCUGAAACUGUAUGGCGAUAGAUCGAUACAGCACAAGUUGUAUCGUUCGUCUUGAAACACGAGGCAGGGAGUGUAUAUAUGUGGUGACCCGAAAGGGGGAGCGAAAGCAAAAACCUGCAGCACUUUGGUGCGAGAGGUGUGGUAUGAAAGUGCCAUUAAUCACAUGUAUACAACCUGAAACCAAGCGAUCUAACCCGAAGCAGGACGAAGUCUCUCUGCUGAGAGAUGGAGGUCCGUUAGAGGUUCUGGGCUCAAUCCGUUCUCGUGACUUCGGGAUAGAAGUGAAAUGCUAAUCGAGCUUGGUAAUAGCAGGUUCCUCUCGAAAUAGCCCUCAGGCUAGUCUGACCAGAGACAGACUAUGGGGUAGAGCACUGAUUGGGUAUCUAGGAGACGAAAGUCUUCACUACCCUGUCAAACUCCGAACCUAUAGUCGUCUGAGAAGGUUGGAAAAGGGGUUGGGGGGUAAGCUCCCAAUCCGAAAGGGAAAAAACCCUGCUUAUGGUUAAGGCCCCAAAAUGCUAACUGAGUGUAAGUAAAGGCGUCUUAGGUCCGAGACAGUGAGAAGGUAAGCUUAGAAGCAGCUAUCCUCUAAGGAGUGCGUAACAGCUCACUCACCGAGACCUAAGGCCCUUAAAAUGGACGGGACUAAGUUAGCUGCCGAUACCAUAAUUCUCGUAAGAGAAUGUAGAGAGGUGCCUUGUGGGAAUAGAAGCCUUUUCUUGAGAAAGGGUGGAUCCUACAAGGAUAAGAAUCCUGCCAGUAGUAACAGCAAAGCGAGGUGAGAAUCCUCGUCACCUGAAGGGCCAGGGUUCCUCAACAAUGUUCGUCAGUUGAGGGUUAGUCGAUCCUAAGAGAUCCAUAAAUAGGAUAAUCGAAAGGGAAACCGGUUAACAUUCCGGUACUAUGUGAGUACAUUUGGCAACAAAAGUUUAUCUCCCAACACUUCGAGGUAGUCCGAGUAUGAUCGUCGUCAUAUCCAAGCAAGAUAAGGUUGUGGAGUACUGUAAUAGUGAGAAGCAACCUAAAUUGCUAUGGGUUAUCAUUAGAUAAUUCGGAUGAUCCUUGGAGACCAUGAAAAGGGAGAUAAUCGGAUCUCACAUAAUCGUACCAAGAACUGACACAGGUGCCCCUAGGUGAGAAGCCUCAGGUGUGGCGAGAUAACUCUGCUUAGGGAAGUCGGCAAAUUGGCCCCGUAACUUCGGGAUAAGGGGUGCCUGCUACGAGGGUAGCAGGUUUCAAUAACAAGGGGGUUCCGACUGUUUAAUAAAAACAUAGGUCCCUGCAAAUUCGUAAGGAUGUGUAUAGGGGCUGAUACCUGCCCAGUAUCGGUACGUUAAAUUCCGGUUCAACGGAACUAAGCGCCGAUAAACGGCGGGGGUAACUAUGACCCUCUUAAGGUAGCGAAAUGCCUUGCCGCUUAAUUGGCGGCCUGCAUGAACGGUUUAACGAGAUCCCCACUGUCCCAAGCAGAGGCUCGGUGAACCUACUAUUCUGGUGAACAGGCCAGAGACUUCCAGUGGGACGCGAAGACCCCGUGGAGCUUUACAGCAGCUUGCUGCUGGGAUGUGGUUAUAGUUGCGCAGUGUAGGUGGGAGACUUCGAAGCCAUCCUUUUGGGGAUGGUGGAGUCAAAAUUGAGACACCACCCUUCAGUGACUGCAUCCCUAACUCUUCAGAGGACAACAGCAGGUGGGCUGUUCGGCUGGGGCGGUACACCGUUGAAAACAUAUCAACGGUAUCUAAUGGUUGGCUCAGACCCGUCAGAAAUGGGUCAUGGAGGAUAAGACCAAAAGCCAGCCUGACUAGAUUUCGACUAUCAAGAAAUCUAGACUCGAAAGAGAAGUCUAGCGAACCCCGAUACCCCCUUAAUGGGGGUUCGGGCUGAUGGAAAAGCUACCCCGGGGAUAACUGAGUGGUCGCGGGCAAGAGUACACACUCCAACCUUUUCGAAAAGGAAAGAAAGGUUGAUGGUACACAUCGACCCCGCGGCUUGCUACUUCGCUGUCGGCUCAUUGUAUCCUGGUUGUGCAGAAGCAACCAAGGGUGGGGUUGUUCGCCCAUUAAAGCGAUACGUGAGCUGGGUUUAGAACGUCGCGAGACAGUUUGGCGGCAUCUACUGGAAGUGUGAUUUACCUGAGGGGAAGGUCCAUUUAGUACGAGAGGAACAAUGGACCGCAGCCUCUGGUCUACCAGUUGUCUGACAAGGCAUGCUGGGUAGCCACGCUGUAAUCGAUAAGGGCUGAAAGCAUCUAAGCCCGAAGCGAUCCCCAAAAAGAGGUAAAAUAGGCUCCCGUUAAAAGACGGGUUUGAUAGGCAGGGGGUGUAAGCACCAAGCUUCGGCGAGGUGUUCAGCCCACCUGUACUAAUCGCC